rnacentral:rRNA from 1 species
UGCCAGUGAUAAACUGGAGGAAGGUGGGGAUGACGUCAAGUCAUCAUGGCCCUUACGACCAGGGCUACACACGUGCUACAAUGGCGCAUACAAAGAGAAGCGACCUCGCGAGAGCAAGCGGACCUCAUAAAGUGCGUCGUAGUCCGGAUUGGAGUCUGCAACUCGACUCCAUGAAGUCGGAAUCGCUAGUAAUCGUGGAUCAGAAUGCCACGGUGAAUACGUUCCCGGGCCUUGUACACACCGCCCGUCACACCAUGGGAGUGGGUUGCAAAAGAAGUAGGUAGCUUAACCUUCGGGAGGGCGCUUACCACUUUGUGAUUCAUGACUGGGGUGAAGUCGU